UUGAGCGGAGAUAUAUGGAGCUUGCUUUAUAUAACUUAGCAGCGAACGGGUGAGUAACACGUAGAUAAUCUAUCCUAUACUGGGGGAUAGCCCGAUGAAAGUUGGAUUAAUACCGCAUAUAGCUAUAUAGUUGCAUGAUUAUGUAGUGAAAGAUUUAUUGGUAUAGGAGGAGUCUGCGGCACAUUAGCUAGUAGGUGAGGUAAAGGCUUACCUAGGCGACGAUGUGUAGCCGGUCUGAGAGGAUGAACGGCCACAAUGGAACUGAGACACGGUCCAUACUCCUACGGGAGGCAGCAGUGGGGAAUAUUGCACAAUGGGGGAAACCCUGAUGCAGCAACGCCGCGUGAGUGAAGAAGGUUUUCGGAUUGUAAAGCUCUGUUAGCAGGGAAGAGGAAGGACGGUACCUGCAGAGGAAGCCACGGCUAACUACGUGCCAGCAGCCGCGGUAAUACGUAGGUGGCAAGCGUUGUUCGGAAUAACUGGGCGUAAAGGAUGCGUAGGCGGUUAAACAAGUUAUAUGUUAAAUAUAUAGGCUUAACCUGUAGAAAGCAUAUAAAACUGUUUAACUAGAGUGCAGGAGAGGUAAGUGGAAUUCCUAGUGUAGCGGUGAAAUGCGUAGAGAUUAGGAAGAACACCAGUGGCGAAGGCGACUUACUGGACUGUAACUGACGCUGAGGCAUGAGAGCAUGGGGAGCAAACAGGAUUAGAUACCCUGGUAGUCCAUGCUGUAAACGAUGGGUACUAGGUGUGGGUUGUGAAU
rnacentral:rRNA from 1 species